UACAGAGACUGCAAGCGUUAUUCGGAUUCACUGGGCGUAAAGGGUGCGCAGGCGGCCGUGUGUGUGAGGCGUGAAAGCCCGAUGCUUAACAUCGGAAUUGCACCUCAAACUACACGGCUAGAGCAUUGGAGAGGGUAGCGGAAUUCACGGUGUAGCAGUGAAAUGCGUAGAUAUCGUGAGGAACACCAGAGGCGAAGGCGGCCAGCUGGACCAGUUCUGACGCUGAGACGCGAAAGCGUGGGGAGCAAACAGG
rnacentral:rRNA from 1 species